GCACCUCUAGCACAUCUUGCAUCCGCGACUUAGACCGCGACUCGAGUCGCCAUUCCCGCGGCUGUCAAAUCUGUCGAUUUCCGUAGCAUAACUUGUACCCGCGACUGCAACAGCCGCGUAGAGAACUCAAAGUCGCGGCGCGACUCGUCAGUGUUACCCGGCGAAAUCAAAGUCUAAACAAAUCGAUAUUUGCAAGUGGCAACACUGAAUCGGAAACCAGGGAUGCGCUAAAUCAUUCGUUCUUUGGUGGUAAAAAAUCUAGUUUUUUGUCGAUGGUUAAGUUUUUCUUGUCAAAGUCAAGGAACUUUCAAAUUUUGUCAACAUUUAAUUACGGGAAAAAUAUGAAAAAAUAAUUAGUUCAGCAUUAUCCUAGACACGAUUGAUAUCCCAGCACCCAAAGGAAAAUAUUAUUAACAGGAACGUGCCAACGGGACCCGAAGUGGAGAUUCAGGAAAAGAAACACACUAGGCAAGCUUGUAGGUUUCAAACGCGGAGCUGUCCCCUUUUCUAAAUUAACUAAGAUGUGAGAAGCGCUUUAGCUUUAAGAACACCACCGACGAAGUGAACUAUUAAUAAUAACCCUAUUGGUUAUGGCGUACACUAAGCUGCCACAGUAACUCUCAAAUAAGUUUCAUAUAGUUUUUCUUGUGCCAAUAAUGGAUGGCAUGUGUGUGUACUGUGUACCUAACUGUUUAUGAUUUGACAAAUUGAUAUGAGAAGCUUAUUUCAUAGUCCUCGAUGAAGUCAUGACCAUAUUUUACUGUCUUGUUUAUAAACCAAUUUUCUUUCCAGGGUGAUAUUUAAUUGUCCUACGCCGCAUGUCGAAGAAAAAGGAAGAGAGAAAAUACUUUUCAAGGGUAAUAAAGAAGAUUCUUACAAUUUCUCUAUAGUGGUUCUAGAUGUUAAUAUAUAUUAGGUUUAAUAAUAAGAAGUCGAAUAUUGCAAGAAUAUAUAAGGCAAAGCAAUAUACUAUUAAUUUAAAUA